rnacentral:lncRNA from 1 species
ACACACACACACACACACACACCCCAAAACCAAAGUAGUUUUGCUAGGUUCCGAGGGCUCUUCCACAGACCCUUCUGAGUUGUAGCAAUAACAAGUUUAGGUUUCCUUAAAAUCUCCAUUACUCUAUUUCUAGGUCGAAUACAAGAAUGUCACAUAAAACUAAACAGUGAUUAUCAGAAUAAAUGAACUACUGAUCCUUAAACUGUAGACCUUGUUUCGGGAGCUGCCCUGCCCACUUCCUCUCCCUCCUCCCAAUCCCGGAGGCUUCCAAGCCAUCUGACAACCACGUCUCCCCCUUGGGAUCUGUUCCGGUGUUGGUUUUACCGGACAGUGACCAAAAAGGAGGGGAAACUCCUACAUCUGGGGACUGCUCCAGAAACCCUGCCUGAUCCUGCCCCUCUCACUGACAGUCUCCUCGCUGCUCCCUACAUCUUCCUCUCCGCCGGAGCUGUCCAGAAGGGGGAUUUUGGACCCAAAGGAAUCGGGAUGAAAGGGGAUCAGAGUGAGAGGCGCUGGCAAUGGACUAGGAAGCUCGGCUGCCGCUGCUACUGCUCCCCCCUGGGCUCCGGCGAGAGCCUUUCCCUGUCAAGCAAGAGGGGUGAGGAUCAUAUUUUUAUUUUGGAAACUAAAAAGUGCUCCCAGGGUCGGUGAUUAUUAAGGGGAAAUCCCUGAAUAUACUCUCCAGCCAAGAAGGCAGGGCUGCCGGGGCUGUACAAGAAGAGGCAGCAGCCUCCUACAGCACCACUACAGGCACUGCGAGGACAUAACACCAGAGAGCUGCUCCUCUGCCCUCCGAAACGACAACUUUCCUACCAUCUUGGAGGCAGAGCAAAGGGGGGCCAGGGGGAAAAGUGCACCCGCUCCCGAUAAAGUACAAAUUUUUACUUCUCAUCUCUGGAAAAAAGUCCACACCGGCCGUCUACACCCGCGCCUGGGGGAGAAAGCAGGGAAGAAACGGGGGGUGCAUGAGAAACGUUUUCAUUUGCUCCAGGGGGAAAAAUGUUUCUGCAUCUUCUGAUGGAAAGAAAUCUUUACAAGACACAGGUUUUCCGGUGGUUAUUGUUUUUUAUUUUCUGUUUUUAAUUUUUUUCAUGUUAGUGACAGUGAUAUUUUAAUAUUUUUUUAAGCCAGUAAUAAUUUUUCUCCAUUACAGGGCUAAGUUCUGUGGCUGGUGGUCAGUUUGUAAAUUUAUACUUAAAGAGACUUAAUAGUAACUUCAUUUAUUUGUCUGGUUAUGUUAUUGUAUAUAUAAAUAUUUAUGUUUUCAUAUAUUGCAUAUAAAAAUUUGUGUUACAUGUUACUCUCAGAACAGAUUGCUGUAAGACAAUUGUAAAAAAACAUGUCUUUCGUCUGUUUCUCAAAGCAAUGUAAAUAAAACCUAUGGACUGUCCAGAAAGGCA